UCGAACGGUGAAGCCCAGCUUGCUGGGUGGAUCAGUGGCGAACGGGUGAGUAACACGUGAGCAACCUGCCCCUGACUCUGGGAUAAGCGCUGGAAACGGCGUCUAAUACUGGAUACGAGACGUGAUCGCAUGGUCAACGUUUGGAAAGAUUUUUCGGUUGGGGAUGGGCUCGCGGCCUAUCAGCUUGUUGGUGAGGUAAUGGCUCACCAAGGCGUCGACGGGUAGCCGGCCUGAGAGGGUGACCGGCCACACUGGGACUGAGACACGGCCCAGACUCCUACGGGAGGCAGCAGUGGGGAAUAUUGCACAAUGGGCGCAAGCCUGAUGCAGCAACGCCGCGUGAGGGAUGACGGCCUUCGGGUUGUAAACCUCUUUUAGCAGGGAAGAAGCGAGAGUGACGGUACCUGCAGAAAAAGCACCGGCUAACUACGUGCCAGCAGCCGCGGUAAUACGUAGGGUGCAAGCGUUAUCCGGAAUUAUUGGGCGUAAAGAGCUCGUAGGCGGUUUGUCGCGUCUGCUGUGAAAUCUGGGGGCUCAACCCCCAGCCUGCAGUGGGUACGGGCAGACUAGAGUGCGGUAGGGGAGAUUGGAAUUCCUGGUGUAGCGGUGGAAUGCGCAGAUAUCAGGAGGAACACCGAUGGCGAAGGCAGAUCUCUGGGCCGUAACUGACGCUGAGGAGCGAAAGGGUGGGGAGCAAACAGGCUUAGAUACCCUGGUAGUCCACCCCGUAAACGUUGGGAACUAGUUGUGGGGUCCAUUCCACGGAUUCCGUGACGCAGCUAACGCAUUAAGUUCCCCGCCUGGGGAGUACGGCCGCAAGG
rnacentral:rRNA from 1 species